UGAAUAAAAAAUAAGAGGAGAAGAAAAAUAAGGGAGAGAAUAGAGAAGUGAACACUCGAUAUACACUCUGGAUACAGAAGUAUACACGGACAGAAUUUAGUCUUUGGAGUUUUCAGAAGUAUACACUCAAUAUAUAUUCUGGAUACAGUAGUAUACAUAGACAGAAUUUAAUUUUUGAGAGUUUCUUUUGAUAAUUGAAGAGAGUUCGAAGCUAGAAAGAGAAAACAAAGAGAAAUUUCCGGAAUAUUUUUUCUUCUCUAUUUCUACUGGUUUUCUCCGUAUUGCUGGGAUUUUCUUGAUUGAGGUAUUGAAGCUACUGCUGGUUGUCACUGUUGUUGUUUCUGUACUUUCACCGCCCUGUUGAUUUCCCAUCUUCCUCUUCUUUUCAAUACCAGGUACACAUUCUAAAAACCAUGUGUUGAUGUAAGCUCGAAUUUGAAGUUGAAGUUUGAAAUGAAAUAGAAAAGCAAGUUGUUGAUUAAUAUUUGUUGUUAUUUUCUGUUUUAUUAGUUUUAUCAAUUGUAGUUAGUUCUAUAAUUUGUAGAAUUAAAUUUUCAUUUAGUCGGCUUGUGAGGGAACACCUUUUGUACUAAAAUAGAGUAG
rnacentral:lncRNA from 1 species